UGUAAACGAGACAAGUUAAUGCUCAAUCUUUUCCGUUUACGCUUCUGAUUCACGCUGAAACUUUAUCCAAUGCCUCUCCUUUAUAAAACCCAAUUCAACAGCCAAUUAUUUUACAAUCUCGCUUCUUCUCCAUUUCCGUCAACGUCUAAUCAGAAUUUUUCCUGCCGGAUUACAUUUCCGACGAUGUCUUGCUCUUCUCAAACUGCUUUUCCCAUUCUAAGGACUGUAACCAUAUCGUACUCCGACCUCAAGGAUAG
rnacentral:misc_RNA from 1 species